AGAUUGUGUUGUUAUUAUAUUUUUAUAUUCUCAUCUUUUAUUAAAAGUAAUUUAUUGCUUAGUAUUUGUUAAAGGAAUUCUUCUUUUUAUUAUAGUUUAUAGUACUGUAAAGGAAUCAUUUAAGCUCUAAUUAAAGUAGUUUUAGUUUAAUUGUACCUUUUGUAUCAGGGUUAAUUAAUUAUUAAUAAAUAUUUUAUUUUCCCGAAAUUAAACGAGAUAAUACUUUAUGUUUUUUAUUGUUUUAUAAUUACAUAUAAUAAAGUAUUAGUUGUGAAAUGCAAUUCAAGUUUAAAUAUCUGGUUUCUUAGGAGCUGAAUUGAAUUCAGAUAACACUUUUACUUUAAUUCUAUUAAGCUAAGUGUUAUUAAUAUAUUUGGGGCUUAGCUCAAAUAUAAAUUUAUAAUCUUCUAUUGAAUUGAGGACAGUAGGCUUAGAAUCAGCCAUCUUAAUUCGUUAUAGAUUCCCUUGAUUACUUUUUUUAUUUUUUUAUAUUUAAAAUUUUACUAAGAUCAAUCUGAUUAAUUGAAUAUCAUUUUUGAUAAUGAUUAAAUCAGUAUAUUAUAAAAUUAUAUUAUUGGAACUCGGCAAGAUUAAUUCCCGCCUGUUUAACAAAAACAUGUCCUUUAGAUUUAAAUUAAAGGUCUCACCUGCCCUAUGAUAUAUUGAAUGGCCGCGGUACUUUGACCGUGCAAAGGUAGCAUAAUCAUUUGUCUUUUAAUUGGGGACUAGAAUGAAUGGUUGGACGAGGAAUUACCUUUCUUUAAUAUAAAAAUAAAAUUUAACUUUUUAGUUAAAAGGCUAAAAUCUUUUUAUAGGACGAGAAGACCCUUUAGAACUUAACCUAUUAUUAACCCCCUCCAAUCCCCUAUCCCUUGGAGGGUAUUAAUAAUAGGUUGUGUUGGGGUGACAUUGAAAUAUUCUUAACUUUCAUUAUUAUUUUGUCAUAUAUUUAUGAUUGGCUGAUCCAUUAUUUAUGAUUAUAAGAUUAAGUUACCUUAGGGAUAACAGCGUAAUUUCUUUGGAGAGAUCUUAUCGAUGAAGGAGUUUGCGACCUCGAUGUUGGAUUAAAAUAAGUAGUAGGAGUAGAAGAUUACUUACUGGGUCUGUUCGACCCUUAAUAUUUUACAUGAUUUGAGUUCAGACCGGCGUGAGCCAGGUUGGUUUCUAUCCUUAAAUUAUGAUUAUAUGUUUUAGUACGAAAGGGCCAAGCAUAUUAAUUAAAUUGUUAAUUUUGAGUAAUUU
rnacentral:rRNA from 1 species